UGAGGAAUAUUGGACAAUGGAUGGAAAUCUGAUCCAGCCAUGCCGCGUGCAGGAAGACGGCCCUAUGGGUUGUAAACUGCUUUUAUACGGGAGCAAUAAGGUCUACGAGUAGGCCGAUGAGAGUACCGUAGGAAUAAGCACCGGCUAACUCCGUGCCAGCAGCCGCGGUAAUACGGAGGGUGCAAGCGUUAUCCGGAUUUAUUGGGUUUAAAGGGUGCGUAGGCGGUCAAUUAAGUCAGCGGUGAAAGUUUUCAGCUUAACUGGAAAAAUGCCGUUGAUACUGAUAGGCUAGAAUAUGGUUGCUGUGGGUGGAAUGUGUGGUGUAGCGGUGAAAUGCUUAGAUAUCACACAGAAUAUCAAUUGCGAAGGCAGCUCACAAAGCCAUUAUUGACGCUGAGGCACGAAAGUGUGGGGAUCAAACA
rnacentral:rRNA from 1 species